rnacentral:rRNA from 1 species
ACAGAGGGUGCGAGCGUUGUCCGGAAUCACUGGGCGUAAAGGGCGCGUAGGUGGCUUGGUAAGCGUGUGGUGAAAGCUCGGGGCUCAACCCCGAGUCUGCCGUGCGAACUGCCGAGCUCGAGCAAAGUAGAGGCAGGUGGAAUUUCGGGUGUAGCGGUGGAAUGCGUAGAGAUCCGAAAGAACACCAGUGGCGAAGGCGGCCUGCUGGGCUUUUGCUGACACUGAGGCGCGACAGCGUGGGGAGCAAACAGG